rnacentral:rRNA from 1 species
AUGCAGUCGAGCGGAAACGAAGAGGUGCUUGCACCUCUGGCGUCGAGCGGCGGACGGGUGAGUAAUGCUUGGGAAUAUGCCUUAUGGUGGGGGACAACAGUUGGAAACGACUGCUAAUACCGCAUGAUGUCUACGGACCAAAGUGGGGGACCUUCGGGCCUCACGCCAUAAGAUUAGCCCAAGUGGGAUUAGCUAGUUGGUGAGGUAAUGGCUCACCAAGGCGACGAUCCCUAGCUGGUUUGAGAGGAUGAUCAGCCACACUGGGACUGAGACACGGCCCAGACUCCUACGGGAGGCAGCAGUGGGGAAUAUUGCACAAUGGGCGCAAGCCUGAUGCAGCCAUGCCGCGUGUGUGAAGAAGGCCUUCGGGUUGUAAAGCACUUUCAGUAAGGAGGAAAGGUUAAGUGUUAAUAGCACUUAGCUGUGACGUUACUUACAGAAGAAGCACCGGCUAACUCCGUGCCAGCAGCCGCGGUAAUACGGAGGGUGCGAGCGUUAAUCGGAAUUACUGGGCGUAAAGCGUACGCAGGCGGUUUGUUAAGCGAGAUGUGAAAGCCCCGGGCUCAACCUGGGAACUGCAUUUCGAACUGGCAAACUAGAGUGUGAUAGAGGGUGGUAGAAUUUCAGGUGUAGCGGUGAAAUGCGUAGAGAUCUGAAGGAAUACCGAUGGCGAAGGCAGCCACCUGGGUCAACACUGACGCUCAUGUACGAAAGCGUGGGGAGCAAACAGGAUUAGAUACCCUGGUAGUCCACGCCGUAAACGAUGUCUACUAGAAGCUCGGGUCUUCGGACUUGUUUUUCAAAGCUAACGCAUUAAGUAGACCGCCUGGGGAGUACGGCCGCAAGGUUAAAACUCAAAUGAAUUGACGGGGGCCCGCACAAGCGGUGGAGCAUGUGGUUUAAUUCGAUGCAACGCGAAGAACCUUACCUACACUUGACAUACAGAGAACUUACCAGAGAUGGUUUGGUGCCUUCGGGAGCUCUGAUACAGGUGCUGCAUGGCUGUCGUCAGCUC